UUGGAGGGCAAGUCUGGUGCCAGCAGCCGCGGUAAUUCCAGCUCCAAUAGCGUAUAUUAAAGUUGUUGCAGUUAAAAAGCUCGUAGUUGAACUUCGGGAUCAAGGGAUCGGUCAUGCCUUGGUAUGUACUGGUCUUAUUGGUUCUCACCUUCUAAAGAACCAUAAUGUCAUUCAUUUGAUGUUAUGGGGAAUUAGGACUGUUACCUUGAAAAAAUUAGAGUGUUUAAAGCAGGCUUACGCUUGAAUACAUUAGCAUGGAAUAAUGAAAUAGGACAUCCGAUUCUAUUUUGUUGGUUUCUAGGAUCGAUGUAAUGAUUAAUAGGGAUAGUUGGGGGCAUUAGUAUUCAAUUGUCAGAGGUGAAAUUCUUGGAUUUAUUGAAGACUAACUACUGCGAAAGCAUUUGCCAAGGAUGUUUUCAUUAAUCAAGAACGAAAGUUAGGGGAUCGAAGACGAUCAGAUACCGUCGUAGUCUUAACCAUAAACUAUGCCGACUAGGGAUCGGAUGAUGUUAAUUUUUUAAUGACUCAUUCGGCGCCUUACGGGAAAC
rnacentral:rRNA from 2 species